GCUUGGUGCUAUUUAGAUUGCUGGAGGGAGCUCCUGCCACCGGAACUGCCUCACAUCACUUCCUGUCCACUAUCCAGUUACGGAUUCACAGUAGCGAGAUAAGUAAAACAGCGUCGUGUUGACGUUUCAUCUCGCAGGAAGACACCGCCAUUUGAUGGUGGCUUCAGUUUGCAUUGCAUUCCGUUCCGUUGACGUCUAGUGUGAACCGGUCUCAGCCAUGAGCUCCGGGAGAAGAAAAUGAGCCUCUACCAGAGUACCGCCCUGCAAGGUGCUGUGUCAGCUGGAGCAUGAACAGAUCGGCGGUCUGGUCUGAACGCUAAUGAAGAAUUUAUUAAUGAAUCAUGUAAACUGAUGAGAAAGAC